CCUACGGGUGGCAGCAGUAGGGAAUUUUCGGCAAUGGGGGGAACCCUGACCGAGCAACGCCGCGUGAACGAAGAAGUUAUUCGUAAUGUAAAGUUCUUUUAACAGGGAAGAAAGAGAAAUUUGACGGUACCUGAAGAAUAAGCUCCGGCUAACUACGUGCCAGCAGCCGCGGUAAUACGUAGGGAGCGAGCGUUAUCCGGAAUUAUUGGGCGUAAAGGGUGCGCAGGCGGCCUGUUAAGUCAGCGGUAAAAGCCCGGGGCUCAACCCCGGCGAGCCGUUGAAACUGGCGGGCUGGAGUUGGAGAGAAGUACGCGGAAUGCGCGGUGUAGCGGUGAAAUGCUUAGAUAUCGCGCAGAACCCCGAUUGCGAAGGCAGCGUACCGGCUCCACACUGACGCUGAGGCACGAAAGCGUGGGUAUCGAACAGGAUUAGAUACCCCAGUAGUC
rnacentral:rRNA from 1 species